AUUGAACGCUGGCGGCAGGCUUAACACAUGCAAGUCGAACGAGUGGCGGACGGGUGAGUAAUGCCUGGGAAUCUAGCUUAUGGAGGGGGAUAACUACGGGAAACUGUAGCUAAUACCGCGUACCAUAGGAUGUGCCCAAGUGGGAUUAGGUAGUAGGUGGGGUAAAGGCUCACCAAGACGACGAUCACUAGCUGGUCUGAGAGGAGGACAAGCCACACUGGUACUGAGACACGGGCCAGACUCCUACGGGAGGCAGCAGUGGGGAAUAUUGAGCACUGGGGACAAUCUGAUGCAGCCAUGCAGCGUGUAUGAAGAAUGCCUUCGAGUUGUAAAGGUCUUUCAGAAGCUAGGCGUUACUCACAGAAGAAGCACCGGCUAACUCCGUGCCAGCAGCCGCGGUAAUAC
rnacentral:rRNA from 1 species